UGUUAUCGAAACAGAAGCUGCCCUUGUGGUAUUUUGUUAAUGCUUAUUGUUUUAGACACAGACAUGUUUUCUAGGAUUAUCGAGUUAUUUACAGGAAAAACAGAGUGCAUGGAGAGAUGAGAAAGAAAAAAAUGAUAUUAGGACUUCUUUCUUGUUAUAAAUAUGCAAAAUAAAUAAUCUGGUGUAAAGCAGAGAGAGUAAGCCCUGAGCCAGUACUGGGGAACUUCCUGGAGAAGCUGUGCUUGGGUCAGACCUUCUAGGAGCAGGACUUAUGGUCUGAAACAUCUGGACUUUUAAAGAAGGGACCAAGCGUCAAGAAUAUCUGAUGAAUAUUUGGCAGACAGCCAGAAAUUGACAAGCAUGCAGGUCUGCUGGGAAGGCAUCAUGCCAACCUUCCACCAUCAAUGAGCAAGUUCAGCAGAUUAAGAAGUAGGAGAAACUGACUAUUGAGCUCAAGAAGAAAACCUCUAUGGAGAUUUUCUUGUUGACUGGGCUCAUAGCUUCAGACCUGAAGUCAGGGAUAAUAUGGACAAUGGAGAUCCAUUUGAAAGAAGCUGCUUAACUUGGAGGAACAGGGAAACAGUGAGCAAGAGUAAGAUGUUUGUCCACCAGGUGAUCCCUUGCUGAGAACAAAGUCUCCUCUUCACAGCCUGAAAACUGGGCAGGCUGGGUAAGUAGGCAUAGCUAACAAGCCAAUCCAAUUGUGUAAAUAUUUGUACAUAUACAGGGUAUAAAGGGAGAGCAUUUCAUUGACUAAGUUGAAUACAAACCCUGUCCACUAUGUUCUUAUAUCUUGCAAGGAAACUUUGGUGUAUUUUGUCUAUCCUGGGAUCCAGAAAGAUCGCUUCUCACUCUCAUUGUGAUUUCUUCCCUCAUAUGACCCUUAAGAGUACUGAGGAAGUCAGAGAAAACACAGACACAAUAAUCUACAUUGUAGAGAUCAAUUACUUCUCAUAAGAAACACUUCCUCAUAGCUGUGAAUUCAGCAGAGGGGCAAGCUGCAACCAAUGCUUGAUAUUGCAUCUGAUGUCUGGUAUACAGGCUCAUUGACUAACUAUUCUAUUGGAGAAAGGAAACAUCAAAAGUUAGCAUGAGAACAAAAAAAAGACUUAAAAUUGAAUCGCAACUCUGAUACAUAGCAGUAAGUGUUCCCAGUGAGGGUCACAAAUAACAUGAAGGGUAUUACUUGAGCAAGAGUUACUCUGCUAUAGUCCUCAUAUUUCGUAUUUACUUGAAAAUCUGUCACAGCAAACCAUAUUGAUAUCAUACAAUAGUCCAGAGAGACCAUACCCAAAAGUAUAUAAUUCCUACUGAAAUAAAGUGUUGAUAAUACUGCACAUCACACAUUUGUAUGUGAGUCUAAAAUUAAUGUUCUACGUAGAUGAAAGCAUUCCCACAAUCCUUAUCUUAGUCACUUGAUUUUUUUUUUUUCGUUUGGAAAAUGGCUGAGUAUUCUUCAGUUCCACACCUGAACUGAACUGACUCUUCCUCAGACUGUAUACAUAGUGGACAUCUGAGUAGCAAUUGACAUUUUUAGCCAGGUUGGUCUCCCCAUGGAUCUUUUUGGGCAUGAAUAAGCAUGCAUAGAUAUAUUUUACUAAAGGAUUCAUGUAGUAGCCUAAAUAUUACAGGAUCCCAUUGCUGUAAAUAAUUUUAUUUUACACAGCAGAAGGAAGGUGUAUCAAAGGCUGUGUAUCAAACGUUGUAGAUAUUACACCAUCCAUAGAUGAUAAUAUAUCAAGAAGAAUCCCUUAGGAUUACACACAUUGAUCUAGAAACUCACAGACGAUUCUAAUCCAGGACAGUUAAUCACUUGGCUUGGAAACUUACAAUAAUAUAAUGCUCCAGAUCUAUGUGGAGUGUUAAUAGAUAAUGAGAAACCACCUAAAAAGCAUAUGCAUAAGUACAAGAUGCUAUUCAAAAAUUAUCCAGAGGGAGUUUGGCAACCUACAUUCAGCACAAAGAGAUUGAUUCGUCACUUCACAGAUUCUGAUCAGAUCAAUUUAGUAUUGAGAAAACUAUAUGAGAACUCACUUGCGUACCCCAUGACUGUACAACUAGGUAGUCACAGCAAACAUGAUAUUCAGGAAGCAUAGCUUGAACUUGCCAACAAUGGACAGAGUGCAUUUAGCUGACGAAGUCUGACCAUGAAACUCAAAUUUCUGAAAUACCACUUAGGUUUGAAUUUACAGAACAAUAAAUACUUAAUGAGUUUUGGGACAAAAUUCUAAUCUAAAGACUACAAAAUUAUUUAUCAAUAAGCUCUUAAUCCCUAUGGAGAGAUUAAUGGUAGAUAUAAUGAAUUUAAUCUGUAGCCCAGAGGUAUAAAUAAUUGGUGCAAUGUGAGGUGAUUUGGUAUGUUUAAGAAACAUGCAAAAAAGGGAGGUCAUUCUAUCUUUGAACAGAUUUGCUUCUCAAACAUUUAGCAUGAGUUACUGUGGAAUGACCUAGACACAUACAUGCACAUAUCCUACAAUUAAUUGAUUUGUUCUGUUCUGUGUGUGGUA